rnacentral:rRNA from 1 species
UUGGGAGUUUGAUCCCCAAGGUUGAAACUUCAAAAGGAAUUGAAGGGGGGCCCGCACAAAGCAGUGGGAGCAUGUGGUUCAAUUCGAUGCACGGCGAAGAACCUUACCUAGGUUUGAAAGGCAAGUGACCGUCGAUGAAAGUCGAUCUGGUAGCAAUACCCACUUGUACAGGUGCUGCAUGGCUGUCGUCAGCUCGUGCCGUGAGGUGUUAGUUUAAGUCCUGCAACAAAACGCAACCCCUGCACUUAGUUGCCAUCAGGUAAUGCUGGGCACUCUAAGUGGACUGCCUACGCAAGUAGUGAGGAAGGCGGGGAUGACGUCAAGUCCUCAUGGCCCUUACACCCAGGGCCACACACGUGCUACAAUGGUUGGUACAAAGGGCUGCUAAGCCCCCCCCCCUCUUCCCAAUCCCCCCCCCCCCCCCCUCAGUUCGCCCCCGGGUCUGCAACUCUCGCGGAGAGCCCCUGCAAUUGCUAGUAAUCGCGGAUCAGCACGAAGCGGUGAAUACGUUCCCGGGCCUUGUACACCCCUCCCGUCAACCCAUGAAACUGGAGGUACCAGAAAGUUUUUUACCGCAACCACCCAGCUUUUAAGGUUUACCCACUUCUGGAAGAAUUCUCCAAGAACUAAC